rnacentral:rRNA from 1 species
UACGUAGGGAGCAAGCGUUGUCCGGAAUCAUUGGGCGUAAAGCGCGCGUAGGCGGCCCCGUAAGUCCGCUGUGAAAGUCAAAGGCUCAACCUUUGAAAGCCGGUGGAUACUGUGGGGCUAGAGUCCGGAAGAGGCGAGUGGAAUUCCUGGUGUAGCGGUGGAAUGCGCAGAUAUCAGGAGGAACACCAAUGGCGAAGGCAGCACUCUGGGACGUGACUGACGCUGAGACGCGAAAGCGUGGGGAGCAAACAGG